AACGAACGCUGGCGGCAGGCCUAACACAUGCAAGUCGAACGCCGUAGCAAUACGGAGUGGCAGACGGGUGAGUAACACGUGGGAACGUACCCUUCGGUUCGGGAUAACUCAGGGAAACUUGAGCUAAUACCGGAUACGUCCGAGAGGAGAAAGAUUUAUCGCCGAGGGAUCGGCCCGCGUCUGAUUAGCUUUGUUGGUGAGGUAACGGCUCACCAAGGCGACGAUCAGUAGCUGGCUGAGAGGAUGAUCAGCCACAUUGGGACUGAGACACGGCCCAAACUCCUACGGGAGGCAGCAGUGGGGAAUAUUGGACAAUGGGCGCAAGCCUGAUCCAGCCAUGCCGCGUGAGUGAUGAAGGCCCUAGGGUUGUAAAGCUCUUUUACCCGGGAAGAUAAUGACGGUACCGCAAGAAUAA
rnacentral:rRNA from 1 species